AGUGAAUAAAUCCCACUUUUCAAUAAUUAACACUGACAAACCAACAUUACAUUUUACUGAAAUACAACUCAUCAUCCUCAGAUGAAUCAUAUCCUAUUUGAUUUUAUAUACCACUAUACAGUAAUUGGUGUUGCAGUAAGUUUUGCCUAAAGAAUCACGUGUAAAACAUCAUAUACAAAUAUAUACCAAAUAAUUCAUUUUACUCAUUAUUGGUAAAUUAUGAUGGAGUUAAGAAUUUUGUGAUUUAACUUCAUUGCUAAUAAUAGGCCAUAUUUGUAUGCGAGAAUUCUUACCCCCAUCAGAUUUUAUUUGAGAUUUUUUUUCACUGAACCUUGGACUUAUUCUUAAAUAGGAUAUUGGAUGUCUUGGCUAUUACACUGAAACACUUGUUUCUGUGCAGGAUCUGGAUUCUCACAAGAAAUAUUAACAAGACUUUAGCAAGUAGAACAAAACAAUGCCAUGAGUGAAUUAUAAUUUGGAAAAAUUAAAUUCACAGUCCAAUUCAUGAGCACACCAUAUUAUCCUUCAUAUAAACAUAUAAUCUAAAUCAAACCUGAACACUCGGUAAUAAACUGGGUCCAGGUCACAUGGUGUAAUGAUUGGCAAAGGUAUGGAAACAGAAAGGUGGCUAAAAUAUGUAAAUAAUGACUUGUGUAUGUUUGUAUGUGUAUCUGUCAGUGUGUAUGUGUAUCUGUGUUAAUAUAAGUGUGUAUUUGUGUGUCAGUAUGUAUGUGUAUGUGUGUAUACGUGUGUGCCAGGAUGUAUAUGUAUCUGUAUCAGUAUGUGUGUAUCUGUGUAUGUGUCAGUGUCCAUAUGUGUACAUCUGUGUGUGUCAGUGUGAAUGCAUAUCUACGUCAGUAUAUUUGUGCAAUCAUGUCAGUAUCGGUGUGUGGAAAAGUGUUAUGCUGCUCACAAAUACAAGCCUGCAAGGAUGGGGAAAUGGUAGUUCCCCAGCUGACAAAGCAUUGUUGGUGUUGCACAAUAGUUCAGGAUCUACCCUUUGGCCAUCCUUGCAUCAGGGCCCUCUCUACAUUAGUUCUGCUACUGCACAGGAGUAUCUAAUUUUUCUGCAGUAUAGGAGGCAAUAAAGGAAGGGGUUAAAGGCUUACCUUUCUCCAACGCCGGGCUCCCUCGGCGCUGGAGACUCUCUCCGCAUUCAGUCUGUCAUAGGAAAGCAUUCUCAAUGCUUUCCUAUGGACGUUUGCAUCUUCUCACUGUGAAAAUCACAGUGAGAAGCGCGGAAGCGCCUCUAAUGGCUGUCAAUGAGACAGCCACUAGAGGCUGGAUUAACCCUAAUGUAAACAUAGUAGUUUCUUUGAAACUGCUAUGUUUACAGCAGUCAGGGUUAACCCUAGAUGGACC